UAAGUUAAGAGUGGAAAGGACUGUUGACUGUUGCUUUGGCUGCCAGAGAGGAAGAGAGGGGUUUCACCCUUUGAGUUUGCUCUCAUACCCUUGCUACAAGCCACAUCCACAUCCUUUGAAUGCACAGCUGGAGACUCAGCGGAGCAGGGAGCAGUCCGCCCGCUUCUCUUCUUCCUGAGAUGCUUCCAGAGGGAAUUCUGACCCAGUGGGGUUUGGAGUCUUCCCCUGAGUGAGUGCUGACAGCUACUGCCAGGAUCCAUGAACGUCCAGAAGAAGCAUUAGAGACGCUUUGUCUCAAGCCGCCUCUCCGAGGUACUGAAGCCCCUUCCUGGUACUGUGAGGAAAGCAGCGAGACUUGGAACCUCCUGCAGAACCAUGGCCAGAGAGACCUGGGUGAUCCAAGCUGCUCUCCCGGGGUGA